rnacentral:rRNA from 1 species
AGAGUUUGAUCCUGGCUCAGGACGAACGCUGGCGGCGCGCCUAACACAUGCAAGUCGAACGAGAGAGAGGAAGCUUGCUUCCUUGAUCGAGUGGCGAACGGGUGAGUAACGCGUGAGGAACCUGCCUCAAAGAGGGGGACAACAGUUGGAAACGACUGCUAAUACCGCAUAAGCCCACGACCCGGCAUCGGGAAGAGGGAAAAGGAGCAAUCCGCUUUGAGAUGGCCUCGCGUCCGAUUAGCUAGUUGGUGAGGUAACGGCCCACCAAGGCGACGAUCGGUAGCCGGACUGAGAGGUUGAACGGCCACAUUGGGACUGAGACACGGCCCAGACUCCUACGGGAGGCAGCAGUGGGGAAUAUUGCACAAUGGGGGAAACCCUGAUGCAGCGACGCCGCGUGGAGGAAGAAGGUCUUCGGAUUGUAAACUCCUGUUGUUGAGGAAGAUAAUGACGGUACUCAACAAGGAAGUGACGGCUAACUACGUGCCAGCAGCCGCGGUAAAACGUAGGUCACAAGCGUUGUCCGGAAUUACUGGGUGUAAAGGGAGCGCAGGCGGGCGAUCAAGUUGGAAGUGAAAUCCAUGGGCUCAACCCAUGAACUGCUUUCAAAACUGGUCGUCUUGAGUAGUGCAGAGGUAGGCGGAAUUCCCGGGGUAACGGUGGAAUGCGUAAAUAUCGGGAGGAACACCAGUGGCGAAAGCGGGCUACUGGGCACCACUUGACCCUAAGCUCCGAAAGUGUGGUAGCAAACAGAAUUAGAAACCCGGUAGUCCCCACGUAAAACGAUAAUACUAAGGGUUUGGGAAAUGACCUUCCCGGGGCCCAGUUAAACCAAUAGUAAUCCCCCUGGGAAGUCCACCCGCAGGUUUGAACCUAAAGGAUUUGACGGGGGCCCCCCAACCAGGGGAAAUAUUGGU